UUGUAUAUGCUAAUAAAAUAUUUUACGCGGGCUGCUAGGAUCGUGUGGCCAACGAUAGAAAUUAGUGGAAUUUCCUUGUUUCAGUAAACUCGAUAAGAUCGAAUUUCUGACACUCUUUGACAUGUUGGCAAGUCACGUUGCGAAAAAAGAAUACCAUUGAACGAAAAUAGAAUUACUCAAGUUUAAGUGUUAGCGUUUCCUUCGAGUGAUAAGCAACACAAGAAAAUCUGGCGCGAAAGGUCGGACGUUUGCUUCCUCGACAUCCGAAUAGAUAGCGUCAACGUCUACCGACAAGGAAACAACAAGAAUUUUGCUUCCCGUAAACGACGGUCACAAUGUUGUCGUGCAUCGUCGAGACGGACGAAACUUCGCCGACAAAGUCCGAGGAGACGUCGCCUAUGACCGGUAUCAUCCGAGGAUUAAUGAACUCUGCACUCUCGUCGCAGAACUGUUCGAAAUGUCACGGGAUGGAAACAGAAGAAAACCGACGAGGCGAUUCCAGCGAUGCGCGCCAUUCGAGCAGGGUUAAAAGAUCGAGGAGUAC